rnacentral:rRNA from 1 species
UACGUAGGGUGCAAGCGUUAAUCGGAAUUACUGGGCGUAAAGCGUGCGCAGGCGGUUGUGCAAGACAGAUGUGAAAUCCCCGGGCUCAACCUGGGAAUUGCAUUUGUGACUGCACGGCUAGAGUGUGUCAGAGGGGAGUAGAAUUCCACGUGUAGCAGUGAAAUGCGUAGAGAUGUGGAGGAAUACCGAUGGCGAAGGCAGCCCCCUGGGAUAACACUGACGCUCAUGCACGAAAGCGUGGGGAGCAAACAGG